UGAAAAUUCUUUAAGGAAAAACCCAGGUUCGGCCGCCGAAACUCACUUUCGGCCGCCGAACAUGCAUGGACUUUGGGAGGCACGUUAGGCCCCCGAAAGUCUAAGUGAGGGAAGUGCAGGUUCGGCCGCCGAACCUUAUGUUCGGCCGCCGAACAUUGCAUGGAUGCGGAGGCACAUUCGGCCCCCGAACGUGGCCUGGCCAGCCACUAUAAAAGGGUCCCCUUGGUCCGCACGGGCGAGCUUUUUCUCUCCCAUUGUCGGCCAAGGUGAGUCUCCACCGCUCCUCCCUCGAUCUUGAGUGUUUCCUUUAGAUCUUUCAUGGUUUUAACGAGUUUAUAACUUCGUUUUGAAGAUUUGUGAGCUUUGAGCAAGUUUUGAGCAAGUUUUGAGUGCUUGGAGGUUCAAAGAGCUUAAUCUCUCCAUCUCCAAGCUAGGAUCACUUUCCUCUCGUUUCUUCAAGAGGUAAGGGUCGAUCUUGAACCCUUUUUAUGUUUUAAACAAGUUUUAAGUAAGAUCUAUGGGUAGAAAUGCAUGUUAGGACAUAUGUUGAGUUUAUGGGUUAUGUUGAGUUUUUGAGCAAUGUAGCUUGAUUGUGUGUGUAUGAAGUGUUGUAGAUGGGGUAUAUGCAUGUUUGAGGCCCCUAGGAACUUGUAUGUAUGUUUUGGUUGAGAAAUAUGCAUGAUCUGUGGUUUUGGGAGGCAGGAGGUUCAUUUGAACCAAGUUUCUGCCGUUUGGCAGAAACCAGGUUCGGCAGCCGAAGGGAGUUUCGGCCGCCGAACCCCUCUUGUGAAGGCAGCUUUCGGCUGCCGAAGGUGCCCCCGAAAAGAGACUUUCGUCUCUGUCUGGCACUUUCGGCCGCCGAAGGUGCCGCCGAACCUAGCUGAGUUUCGUCUCUGUCUGGGACUUUCGGCCGCCGAAGGUGCCGCCGAAGGUGCCCUGUUCAACCAUUUCAUGCAUAUUUUCUGUGAUGUUUUCAUGAUGUUUUAGGGGGUUUUUGGGGGAUAUAUUAGAGAUAUGUUUAUAUGUGUUUGGUCCCUCAUUGGAGUCCACCUGUGUAGGUUCGGACCCGAGGAACCAAGGACCCCAGCAGUGAGCCAGCUGCUGAGAGUUUGACAGAG
rnacentral:lncRNA from 1 species